AUUGAACGCUGGCGGCAGGCUUAACACAUGCAAGUCGAGCGAGCGGCGGACGGGUGAGUAAUGUCUGGGAAACUGCCUGAUGGAGGGGGAUAACUACUGGACACGGUAGCUAAUAACGCCUACCAUCAGAUGUGCCCAGAUGGGAUUAGCUAGUCGGUGGGGUAAUGGCUCACCUAGGCGACGAUCCCUAGCUGGUCUGAGAGGAUGACCAGCCACACUGGAACUGAGACACGGUCCAGACUCCUACGGGAGGCAGCAGUGGGGAAUAUUGCACAAUGGGCGCAAGCCUGAUGCAGCCAUGCCGCGGGUGUGAAGAAGGCCUUCGGGUUGUAAAGCACUUUCAGCGAGGAGUCGUUACUCGCAGAAGAUGCAACGGCUAACUCCGUGCCAGCAGCCGCGGUAAUUC
rnacentral:rRNA from 1 species